GCAUGUAUAAUGGAUGUUCAUACAGUUAUUCUCUUCUGUGCUUUAGCAUAUGUUGUUUCUGGAACUGCCAUCACAGCAGAUGAAGAAGAGAUUUCUGCUGAGGAGGAUUCACAUGUCACAUUAUCCUGCAGUUAUACAUCUAAUGAUUAUCUGUACUGGUACCGUCAGUAUCCCGGAUCAGCUCCUGAAUUUCUUUUGCGUAUUUAUGAUGGCACAACAAAUGACAAAAAGUCUGAUGUAGAUCCAAGAAUGUCUGUGAAACUCACUCAACAGAAGCAGAAACAAGUUCAUCUGGAGAUCUCCUCUGUUUCUCUAUCAGACUCUGAUCUGUAUUACUGCGCCAUGAGGCCCACAGUGACACAAAACCAUCCAGACACGUACAGAAACCCCAGAGAGAGAGAGAGAGAAUCAAAUCACAGGACGGUGUUGAGCAGAAUACAAGAGUUCAAACUGCUUCUGAAGGUGAAACUGUAUCAAUAA